UCAUUUAUUCCUUAUCACACCGCCUAUACCGUCCGUAGUUCGACUUCUAUCUAAUAUUUACAGAAAACAAUUGUGUUUAUGUAAUAUAUCUCUGUGAAGCGAAUUAAAAAUCAUUGUACUCCGGUACAAGCGUUUCGUGUGGUUAAGUGUGUUGGUUAUUUACUCUAUGUAAUUUUUACAGAGGCUUUUAUCAAAUUAGGAGUGAAGUGACUCGCAUAUGCAAGGACUUAAAGAAGAGGAAGAAUCAUUAUUUUCCGGGAAAUGGCUGCGAUGAAUCCGUACGCAUUUAGGGGUUGGCACCUUCCCUCGUAUGCAGAUGGAGCGAACUGUGACAGGAAUUAUCAUAUGUACGGGUCCUGGCCCCACUCCGGGUACUUCCCCCCGGGGUCGGUGUAUUCACUACAGGCAGACACACCCAAACAACACAGCAACAGUGACUGGAAGCUGAACGGACUGUGUACAACGUCCUCAGAAGAUAAUUCUUGGAGGUCCCCGGAGGUUCCGACAGCUUUGGACCUGAACAAGUCUGGAGCAGUGUCCGCGUACCCUUCCCUGUGUCAGAGAGAAGAACAGCCUAUAUCAUGGAAAAAUUAAACAGUAGAUUGAAGCUACAAAAUCUGUUCUGGAUGCACAGCUUUAAAGUGAUGUCACCGUUUGACCCCUUUAAGAUAUGCAACAGAUUCAUUUACCGUCAACGACGCUUGCCCCCACCGCUGUGACGCUGAGGAAGCGAAGAAGGCCCUACUCGAAAUUCCAGAUCGCGGAGCUUGAACGCGAAUACAAUAACUCUACAUACAUCUCUAAGUCCCGGCGAUGGGAACUCUCACAACUAAUCAACCUCUCAGAACGACAGAUCAAAAUCUGGUUUCAGAACAGACGUAUUAAAGCCAAGAAAGUGUCAAAACGGGACGAUCCACCACCCAAAACACAGUCUUCUUGUAUGCAACAGCAGCAACCUAUGAGUCACUGAGGAGGAGGGAAAAUAGGGAAUAAUGACGUAACAGAAUCAUGAUGUGACGUCAGGAGCACGCGUCUGGAUCUCCAGGAUUUUGUGGCUCUAGAUUAUUUUACCAAAGAACCAACACGCCGAAUACCUCAGUCUGCAGACGUAGUGAAAACCAAUGGUCCCUGGGAGUUCUUUGACUUGAAUGGACACAGCCAUCGAGCGCUCUUGAGGAUCGAGGGUCUCUUGAAAAAGUAAACAAUAGUGUAUGUUCACUUGGACUCGCACAGGAAUAUUACGGCUGGUUUGUAGUAUUACAACGUAUAAUGAAUCUUCUCCUGAUGCAAGGACACGAUGUGAAUUCUUUUGUCUCAUGACAAUUUUAUCAUUUGUAGAAAAGGUCCCAAUUUAGACAACAGAUUCUGAAUCUGUCUGUCGCAGAAUGACUGCCGAUGUGAAUAUAUCGAUUAAUGUAGAAUGUCUGAAGAUGUGAUUGUAUCGAUUAUUUGUAGAAUGUUUGACAAUGUUUUACUACAUUGACUUUUUGUGAUUUGUCCAAAGAUAAAUUGUAUUCUAUAUAAAAAAUGAAUAGAUGAAAUAGCAAUGAAAUAUACUAUCCU
rnacentral:misc_RNA from 1 species